rnacentral:tRNA from 1 species
UUAAUAGAAGCCAAAAUAGAGGCAACUUAUUGUUAAUAAGUCUAUUGACAUGAAUGUCCUAUUAAA